AAAGUGGGAAAGGAAGGAGAAGGGAAAAGAAAACUCCCCUGAUCAUGGUGGCAGUUGCCAAUUUUGGACUUUCAGGGAGAUGUCUUCCACCACAGGAUUCAGCAAAGAGGUGUUGAGGAAGAACUGCUUCAUCCUCCAGAUUUGAUCAAGCAGGCAGAUGUCCUCCACAGCUAGAUCUAAGAAGCAGUGAUUGUUGAUGAGUGGGUUCAGCUGGUGCCCAUUGAUAUUCAGGCUUUUGUGUACACUGGCACUCUUUUCUUCCACCAUGGGUGUUUAUUGGUCAAAUUCAUAUGUACCUCCUACAACAGGGUUAGUGCAAUAUGGUUCCACAAAAAUAACAUGCAGGGGUAUAACAUCCAAUCCCAGUGUAACAGGCUGAACCUCAGAUAAACCCUCAGAACAUGAAUCAAACUCAAAUGUAGAAACAAUAUCAACAAUAGUCUCAGAUUCAUGUUCAGUGCAUGGAGAACAAACAUUCAUAUGUGAUAGCAAAAAGUGGUUCUCAUCAUGCAAAGAGAGAAAAUUAGAAGCAUGCUCAUCAACAAUACAAUCAUCAACAUACCUAUCAAUAGCAUAAUCAUCAACAAUAGAAUCAAUCUUAGGUAUGCUUACUUCCACCUCCC
rnacentral:lncRNA from 1 species